rnacentral:rRNA from 1 species
CACGUAGUUAGCCGGAGCUUAUUCUACAGGUACUGUCUUGUUUCUUCCCUGUCUAAAGCAGUUUACAAUCCGAAAACCUUCUUCCUGCACGCGGCGUCACUGCAUCAGAGUUUCCUCCAUUGUGCAAUAUUCCCGACUGCUGCCUCCCGUAGGAGUCUGGGCCGUAUCUCAGUCCCAAUGUGGCCGUUCAACCUCUCAGUUCGGCUACUGAUCGUCGACUUGGUAGGCCUUUACCCCACCAACUAUCUAAUCAGACGCAAGCCCAUCUGUUAGCGGAUUUCUCCUUUCCCACUAAAACCAUGUGGUCUUUAUGGCAUAUGCGGUAUUAGCAAUGAUUUCUCACUGUUAUUCCCCUCUAACAGGCAGGUUGCUUACGUGUUACUCACCAGUCCGCCACUAACCGCUUCCAAAUGUAAACAUUCGAAUUAAGUUCGUUCGACUUGCAUGUCUUAUGUGCGCCGCCAGCGUUUUAUCCUGAGCCAGGAUCAAACUCU